CUUGUCUUCUUCCUCCUGGAGGAGGUGAAUUAGUAGGUGGGGGCGAUCAUCUAGCUGCAGGGUGCUAUGGUGUGACAGUCAGGCAAGUUCACUUGCUGAGCGGGAUCGUGCUUCAAGGUGGAUGAUAUCCAAGGUCGGAAGUUAGCCAAUGUCUAGUGAUGGACUUAGCAGAAGAUGGCAGAUGUUCUUGGGCGAAAGCUACUGGAGCUCAUUUUCAGAAGCUGGUGGAUGCUGCAAGUCUGAAGCAGAUGGAUAUUUGCGGAUGUAAGCUGGUUGAAAUUCACCUUCAGAAGUUGGUGGAUAUUUGUGGGUUGAAGCCAGGCACAAAUGUGAAUGAAUGGUGAGUGAAUGUGUCUGUUGGCAAUCUUCAUGGAUGCUGGCUGGUGAAUGUUUGUGUGUGACAAUGAGAGGUUUGGAAGGUGAAUGGUUGAGGCAAAUAUGUGCAUGUACAUCAAUGUGAUAUGUGAAAGGAAACUGGUGGGUAUUCAUGAAUAGAUUAAACCAACGGAAGUUGGCAGGCUGAACCAGUGGUGGUGCCUGGGGGUGCUGUUGGGUGGUAGCCAUCCCUCUCCUUGUCUUGGGUUUUUUCCCCCUUGAAGGAUGUCUGACAUUGGUUAGGUUUUUUCAAGAACAGUUGUGAAAGCCAUGAAGAGAACUGCCGCACUUAAGCAAGUCUGCUUAUAUUUCUAAACAAAAUGGCUUUCUAAAUGCAUCUAGCUGUAGUGUGCAUGCUAUCUUUUUUUUCAAAGACAGAUAAUGGAAGAUCAAACACCUGAACAUUAUGUUAUGCUCCCUUGCCUGGUAUCAGUACUCAUGAAGUGUUGCCUGGGUGAGAAGUAAGUAAUACAGUAAAUGAAUAAAUUGAUGUUAAGGUGCCCCACAAUUGUCAAGUCUGGGGAAGUUAUGCUGAUGUUUCCCCUAGCUGUUCCCAUCGGCUGAGAACGGCCUGUGAUGUCACAAAAGGACAUGGUGGCUGAGGCGAAAGAGACAGUUGUUAGUGGAAGUUUGUUAGGAGUGAAAAGCCUCAGGGAAAAGAGGCUAUGAGGAAACUGGGGCAUGGUCAGCUAGAGACACAGAAAGGAAACCUUGUUUGGCUCCCUCCUGUCUACUUGAGUUGCGAACUUUUUCCUCCCUCAGGGCUCCUGUGACUGUCAGUGUCUCAGCUGCAUAACUGUCAAAAAAAGUCACAACUGAUUUCGUCAGAGAAUCCAGCUGCCCCAGCGAACAACUAAGGAUCCUUAGUUUGCAAAACUGUCUUUUAGCUGAAAUAUUCUUGAAAGUGUCUCUUUAGUGUUAUGUUUCUAGAAAAAGAGGUGCCAGAACUCACCAUGAACGCCUCCCUCGUUCUCUUAUAAUGGCAAUGGAGCCACCUGAGAGGCGCCGGAACUGAGUUCCUGCUCAAAAAAAGCCCUGGGCCUAGUGAGGUACUUCAGGAUCAAUAGAUGAGAGUUUUCAGAAGAGCCUCAGGGAAAUGUAGGAGGCGGAUUCAGUAUGUAAUCUGUGAUGAAUCAAAGAGGCCCAGGCACUUCUGCUCCCAUUCAAAGGCUGGAAGCAUGUGGGUGGGUGUUUGUGGGUGUGUGAGAGAGAGAUUCUUUGUUUAGGCCCAUAACACGAAAUGGCCCUGUGAGGAAAAUACUGUGCUAUGAUUUAUUAAUCCCUAGGUGGCACUGUCAUUAGUCUAAAGUUAGGUGGGGCCAGGCCUUUCUUUUUUGCUUCCUUCCUGGUGUUGCAGCAUCUUCUGACUCCUCUGCUUCACACAUCCAGGUGCUCUUUCUCUCUCACACACACCUCAAACCUCCUCCUGUCACAAGUAGAAGCCUCAUCUGUAGAACUGAAGUGUGUGUGUGUGUGUGUGUGUGUGUGUGUGUGUGUGUUUUCACGGUCCAUAUAGGGAUGGAAGAACAGAAGUGGAGCUUAGAAGAUGUUCUAAGGUGGGACUUCCCUGAGGAGAAAGAACUGACAUUUGAAGGAAAUAAGUUAAAUGUGAAUAUUUAAACAACAGCAAACUAGAAUUGAGAAGGAAGCUGCUGAAGUGGGGUAAAAUGAAUAUACAGGGGACGGGAAAGGAAUUAAAAAGUAAAAGUUAAAGAAGAGGGAGGAAUAGGAUACAAACUAAAUAUGAAAAAAGAAAGGAAGAAGAAAUGACCAUAUAUAUAUACACCCACACACCCACACACACUUUGAGGUGUGUGUAAUGCAAUUAAAAAAACACCCCACACCUCUGGAUUAGCAAAAUAUGCUUAAAGUUGGGAACUUAAAGAAACUUGAACUACAGAAUGUGUGGCCACAAGGAGAUUUCUGUGGCAAAUAAUUUCUGUGGCAAACCUCGAGAUGCUGCCAUUUUGUAAGAGGUAGGUCUCAAUAAGCUUCAUCCCUCUCAAGAGGGCUCUGCAGCUAGAGAGUUUGAGAAAUCCUAGACUGUAGCAAAUAUUUGUGAUUAUCUGAUAUUUUAAAAUUUGCAUGUGGCCUCAGCCUGCUACACACAGUCUGUACAAAGUGCUUUUUUUCUAGAAAAAGAGGUGCUGGUGCUCACUAUGAAUGCCCACCUUGUUCUCUUAUAAUGGCAAUGGUGCCCACCUGAGAGGAGCUAGAACUGAGUUCUGGCGAGUUCCAGCUGAAAUAAAAGCCCUGGCUGUACACAUUAAUACAUGCUUGCCUUGCCUUCCUGCAGCAAUUGUUCAGCCUUCUUCUGGCCUACGAUCAGCAACAAGACCUAUUCCUGAAACAUAGUCCACUUGCAAACAUAGUGUAGCCAAAUGGGAGUGUACCAUUCUCAUCAACCCUCCAUUCCUCCUCUCCUUUCAUGUGAGGAGUCCCACUCCCUUUUUCUGAGCUAACUGGUUAGCUUUAUAUUUGCACAAUCAUCUUUGCUAACUGUAGUUAUCCAUUCAGGUAGGUAGCCGUGUUGGUCUGAUGCAGUCGAAAUAAAAAUAAAAACAUUGUCCAGUAGCACCUUAGAGACCAACUAAGUUUGUUCUUGGUAUAAGCAUUUGUGUGCAUGCGUGCAUGUGUAGAAGAAAUGCCUCUAUAUAUCUAUGCUGCACCAGCUAUUAAAUGGACAGAUGGACAUUAUGGUGGAGGACAUGGUCUCAUGAGGAAUCUGCUUUUCCUAUGGCCUUUUGCCACACCAGCUCUAUAAAUAAGAAAAGUGUAAGAAAAGGCCAAUACAGCUAUGUGGGGCAUAUACAGUCAGAAGCAAGCCCUGCCUUAUAUACAUUAUUAGGAAACCUGUUUUUCUCAGUGUGACAGCAAAGGACCAUUUGUAUGAAAAAGCAACAUAGCCACCUCAUUGCUUUUUCAAAACAUAUACAAAUGUGAAUUCUGCUUGUAGGAGGGCUGGAGCACCUCUGGAAGUCAAGAUAAAUCUGCUUAUACACACAUGGCAUAAUUCUUAGGAAAGGCAAGGUUUAUACAAGAAAUUGAAGCUUUAAACCUCAAGUACCAUAAAUAGUAUAUUUUAAGGGUUUCAACUCAGUUGCAGGCCUGGGUCCAGACUCCAUAUUUGGCAGCUGUCGUUGUUUUAUGAUUAAUUAAAAUGAGGUAACAAAGCAAGACAUGUCUAUUAACAAGGGGGUUUGCAACAUCAGUGGAGUAUUCCAAAAACUGAUCCUUUUGCCUCUUAAUCUGCAAAUAUCUUAGUAGGAAAGCAGUCUUUCUUUCAGCUGCAUGAAGAGGAACAAGCUGCAACCUUCAUCUCCUCUGGUAGCAAGAGACAAGUGACUCACAUACUCAGCUUUAUCUUUAUUGUUUCUCUUUUAUUAAACAAAAAGAAAGCUCAACAAAAAUUUUACCAGGUUUUUUUAAUCUUCUUUUUAAGCUAGUUUCAGUAUAGUGCAUAUCUAGGCAGACAAACCUCAGCUUGUCUUGUUUGGCAAAAUGUACACAUUUAUUAGGAAAUGAAUCUCCCUCUAUUAGCACACAUAUGUAGUAAGUAAGCCCCAACAACUUCUACAGUAAUUGUGUACAGUAUAUGAUUACAACCCAAGUAUAACAUGCCUGCAUUCUCUCGCAUUCAUAUCAUGUUACAUCAUCCUAUUCCUUCCAUCCUUGUCAAAAUUUAUCCUUGAAGCAAAGAUCUUCCUUCUUGCUUACAUUACUCUCCAAAAUGCCAUGGGUGUUAUUUGCGUGUUCAGACCCAGAAACCUCCCCCCUAAAUAAAUUCACACAUGACUCAAAUUUUGGUUUUGGUUUUUGGCAGAAUUUAGGCCACAACUUUAUUGAUUACAGAAAGUGACUGGUUGCAUAGGCUCUGGUUCGACUAGCUCCCUGCCAUGCAGGUAGCGCUGACUCAGGGUUCCAGCAUAGGUCAGCCAACGGUGAACACCUGGAUAAGCGGAAAGCCGGGAAUGGGCUAACUCCACAACCCAAAUGUCCCCCUGGACUCAGGCAUGGGCACAACCCCCUCUCAGGGGUUGACCAAACCAUCGAGUCCCUGGAUUCCUUUAAUGGAAUACCCUUCACAUAGGGAUGGCGAGAGCGUUCUCCCAUUCCUAUCACCUGAACCAGAGCCUAUCCGCAACCUUACAAGUUGUGACGAUUUGCUACGCUGCAGGUGAAACCCAAAUGGCACAGCCAAUCAGCCAAAUGGGGAAAAUUCCUGCUGUGCCCCUGUCCCAACGGCAGACAACAAAUGACGGCAUAGCAAGGUCAAGCGAAAGCCCUAAAAGUAGGGAGAGGUGGGCGGAUGUUCCAAAUGCACACACCAAAAGGGGAAGCUCUGGGUCACAUGCAUGGGCAUAAAUAGUUCCCUCAAACCGUCUGGACUGCGUCCCAUUGGCCAGAUUGCACCCAGCUUCGAGGGACCUACCAAUCGAGUGUUGUGGCUGUCCAAACAUACCCACCCAGAACACAGGGUGUCGGUUUUCCAGGUCUCACCGCAAUACGUGCCCUCUUUAAGGGAGGACCUGAUUUCCCACCACUCGGCAGUGUGUGUGUGUCCAACUUUUGUAAUAUUAGCAUUAUACCUUUGCUACUAUGGGAAAGGGGUCUUUUAAAAAGCAGAGUGCAAGUAAUUAACACCCCUACCUCCCCAAAAUAUUGCUCAGGUUCCCUUGAUUAAACCAUUCAGUAAUGCAUUAUGCUUAAAAGGAUACAGUGGUACCUCGGGUUAAGUACUUAAUUUGUUCCAGAGGUCCGUACUUAACCUGAAACUGUUCUUAACCUGAAGCACCACUUUAGCUAAUGGGUCCUCCUGCUGCUGCCGCGCCACCGGAGCACGAUCUCUGUUCUAAUCCUGAAGCAAAAUUCUUAACCCGAGGUACUAUUUCUGGAUUAGCAGAGUCUGUAACCUGAAGCGUAUGUAACCUGAAGUGUAUGUAACCUGAGGUACCACUGUAUAAACAAACCACUCAGACAGCCAAACCAGCCAUUUCUUCCCUGGGUGCAUUUCAGUUCCAGGAACGCCAGCUAUUUUAGAUAAGUAGUGACUUCCUGUUCCAGGAUGCAGCUUUACAGAUGCCUGAAAAGAAACUUUCUGUUUCAUCCUACACCAAUUAAUAUGUCCCUCCCCCCCCAAAAAAAAAUCCAAAGCAAUAAGUUUGCGUCUCAGUUCUGGUACUGAAAACAAAUUCCUGGGCUGAGCAUGUGGUCAGAGGCACCCUGCUUUAGGGUUGCCAUAUGUCCUCUUUUUCCAGGACAUGUCCUCUUUUUCAUGGGCAGAGUAAUCAUAGCUUUAACCAUUGUUAAAAGUGGAAGUGGGCAAAUGUGUCCUCUUUUUUGCUUUUCAAAAUAUGGCAACCCUACCAGGCUAAGGGUAUACAGUAUAUGCAUCUGUCCUUGAGCUGCUAUUUUGUACUUGGCUCUGGUGGGAAGACUUUAGGGUUCCAAUGAAAAGCAAAGUAGAUGCCACAACUCCAAAGGUUGCCCUGUAGAAUAAGGCAGAGAGAUGGUAUAUUCCAGCAGGUAUUUCCAGCAGGCCAUACUGUCACCAUAUUUAAAAUAAUAAAAAAGAUAGCACCCCCCUCUCUUUGAGCAAUCAGUUGUAAUGCCAAGCUAGCUUAUCAUAGGGAAGCUUGCCCACUUGAAAGUUAACAUAUCUUCCAUGUUUGAGUCUGUAGUGUACAAGAAGACAGGUUCACCCUUCUCAUGGCUCCAGAGAGUUAGCCACUUGGGAAAACACCCAAGUCUGAGGAAAAAGGAAAAGCAGACUAAAAUAGUUUAGUCUUGUUUUAUUUUAUUUUAUUUUUUUCCCUUCACAGAGGCUUCCAGACAGGGUGGGAGUCUUUGGUUGUGUCUGAGCUAAAAUUACAGUAAAUAGAGUAGUGACUGGAAAGCUCUGUGUUUGGGAUAAGAGCAACUUGUACAAAUUGCCAAAGAGCAGAAAAGGAAGGGUGUUUUGUUUGAGGGACAAGUAGCUCAUAGAAUCAUAGGAUUGUAGAGUCGGAAGGGACCCCUAGUGCCGUCUAGUCCAACCCCCUGCAAUGCAGGAAUCUCAACUAAACCACCCAUGACAGAUGGCCAUCCAACCUCUUGCUUAUAAACCUCCAAGGAAGGAGAGUCCACAACCUCCCAAGGGAGUCCGUUCCGCUGACGGAUAUUUCUGUCAGAAAGUUCUUCCUGAUGUUUAGUUGGAAUUUCCUUUCUUGUAGCUUGAAGCCACUGGUUCAAGUCCUACCUUCCAGACACUGGCGGAGGAAGAGGAGUGCGGGGAGAGCGCACCGCCCCCAGCAGCAUGAUCCCGGUGGGGUGCCAUCGCGGCUCCCCCCACCCGCGCUGGGCGUCACGCCCCCAGGAUGCGCGCCAGCCCCACCCCCGCCUGCUCUCUGGCCCGCCCCCCGCCCCCCCCGGUGCCAGAGCAUGAAGCUCCGCCACUGCUUCCAGAGCAGAAGAAAACAAGCUUGCUCCAUGUGAACGCCUUUGAGAUGGCUAUCAUAUCUCCUCUCAGUUAAACAUACUCAGCUCCUUCAACCAUUCUCCGUAAGGCUUGGUGAUAGAGCACCUACUUCGUAUGCAGAAAGUCCCAAAUUCAGUUCCCAAAAUCUCCAUGUAGGAGAAGUGCAACUUGCAAUGUUGAGUUAGGUGUACCAGUGGUUUUACUUGGCAUGCAGCAGUUUCCUAUGCUUCAGUGUAUCAGACAGAGUCGGAAUGGAGGGCCCAGUAGGAAGAUUUCAGAGGUGCAUCCCCCAAAACAGCUGGUCAGAGCACACGCGUUUUCCUAGCCCUGUGCCAUGGACACCAGGGUUCUUCAGUUGCUGUUCCUACAACUCACAUAUUGAGAGAUCCUUGUGGAAACAUUCUGUAUCCAAUUAAAUUAGAUUUGGGGAUGCAGUUGCUGUGUGGAAGCUCAUAGGCAGUGUUUUAGGGAGCUGCUGUAGGGCUGGGAGGAAUCAUAGAGUUGGAAAGGACUGUGAGGGUCAUCUAGUCCAACCCCCUGCAAUGCAGGAAUCUUUUGCCCAAUGUGGGGGCUUGAACCCAUGGACCUGAGAUAAAAGUCUCGUGCUCUACUGACUGAGCUAUGUAGAAAAGGGAAAGGCAAAAGCCAGCUUUAUGAAUAGCUUUGAAUCCUAGAAUGCUAUUUGUAAAAUCUAAAUUUCUUUUGCAAAAACAUGGGAGAGAAAGGGUGGGAUUCCCAAAUUAGUAAAUGCUGUAUUAGAUGCAGACAGGGUGGUGUCUGCUAUGCCCAAGAACAUGAAGUCUUCAUAAUUCAUCUUCUAAGGGAAAGGAAUUGAAGGGGCAUAUCUCCAGAGGGUUUUUAAAAAAAUUAUUGGCAGAAAUUUCUGUGUCUGGAUUUUUACUUCUUGAAAUGUGGCAACCCUAAGUUGGAGUCCAAGAGCCUUUGGAGGGCCACAGUUUAAUCACCCCUUUUUUACAUUAUACCUGAUUUAAAUUUUGCAUUUGCACCAGGACUGCAUACUGAAGCAGACCAGAAGCCAACAGAACUAGCAG